UUGAGCGCUGAGGUUGGUACUUGUACCGACUGGAUGAGCAGCGAACGGGUGAGUAACGCGUGGGGAAUCUGCCUUUGAGCGGGGGACAACAUUUGGAAACGAAUGCUAAUACCGCAUAAAAACUUUAAACACAAGUUUUAAGUUUGAAAGAUGCAAUUGCAUCACUCAAAGAUGAUCCCGCGUUGUAUUAGCUAGUUGGUGAGGUAAAGGCUCACCAAGGCGAUGAUACAUAGCCGACCUGAGAGGGUGAUCGGCCACAUUGGGACUGAGACACGGCCCAAACUCCUACGGGAGGCAGCAGUAGGGAAUCUUCGGCAAUGGACGAAAGUCUGACCGAGCAACGCCGCGUGAGUGAAGAAGGUUUUCGGAUCGUAAAACUCUGUUGGUAGAGAAGAACGUUGGUGAGAGUGGAAAGCUCAUCAAGUGACGGUAACUACCCAGAAAGGGACGGCUAACUACGUGCCAGCAGCCGCGGUAAUACGUAGGUCCCGAGCGUUGUCCGGAUUUAUUGGGCGUAAAGCGAGCGCAGGUGGUUUAUUAAGUCUGGUGUAAAAGGCAGUGGCUCAAUCCAUUGUAUGCAUUGGAAACUGGUAGACCUUGAGUGCAGGACGAGGAUGAUGUGGAAUUCCACUGUGUACGCGGUGAAAUGCGUAGAUAUAUGGAGGAACACCGGUGGCGAAAGCGGCUCUCUGGCCUGUAACUGACACUGAGGCUCGAAAGCGUGGGGAGCAAACAGGAUUAAAUACCCUGGUAGUCCACGCCGUAAACGAUGAGUGCUAGAUGUAGGGGAGCUAUAAGUUCUCUGUAUC
rnacentral:rRNA from 1 species